rnacentral:rRNA from 1 species
GGAAUCUUGGACAAUGGAGGCAACUCUGACCCAGCCAUGCCGCGUGGAGGAUGAAGGCCCUCUGGGUUGUAAACUUCUUUUAUCUGGGACGAAACCCCCGCAUUCCUGCGGGGUUGACGGUACCAGGGGAAUAAGCACCGGCUAACUCCGUGCCAGCAGCCGCGGUAAUACGGAGGGUGCAAGCGUUAUCCGGAUUCACUGGGUUUAAAGGGUGCGUAGGCGGGCAGGUAAGUCCGUGGUGAAAUCUCCGGGCUUAACUCGGAAACUGCCAUGGAUACUAUUUGUCUUGAAUACUGUGGAGGUGAGCGGAAUAUGUCAUGUAGCGGUGAAAUGCUUAGAUAUGACAUAGAACACCAAUUGCGAAGGCAGCUCACUGCGCAGUGAUUGACGCUGAGGCACGAAAGCGUGGGGAUCAAA